UACAGAGGGUGCAAGCGUUGUUCGGAAUUAUUGGGCGUAAAGAGCUCGUAGGCGGUUUGUCGCGUCUGCUGUGAAAACCUAAGGCUCAACCUUGGGCUUGCAGUGGGUACGGGCAGACUAGAGUGCGGUAGGGGUGACUGGAAUUCCUGGUGUAGCGGUGGAAUGCGCAGAUAUCAGGAGGAACACCGGUGGCGAAGGCGGUGGUCUGGGCCGGCACUGACGCUGAGGAGCGAAAGCGUGGGUAGCAAACAGG
rnacentral:rRNA from 1 species